GUCAAAUGUUAUCCAAAUUUUAGUCCGUAAAAUAAACCAAAAAAAAUCCAAAAAAACAGGUUGCAGGUAAGAAGAAGAUGAUGGUGUCGGGAUAAGAUAAUGGAUUAUCUGCGUAACGCUCUUUUGCUCUUCACCGCGUUCAUUACUUUUAUAACUGGAAUACAUAGUUGCACACGAAAAGUCUACAUUGCCUGCAGAAAACCCGCGCCCUGUGGAAAGUAAUUAUUUAUAAUGGCGAAAUUAAACUGGGUAUUCUUCUACACUUUACUGCUAGUAAUAUUCUCUAUAAUCGCCACCGGAAGUGCCUGUAAGAAGAAGAUUCCUUGUAGUGGUCGUGCGCCAUGCCGGCGAGGACCUUACAGAGAUUAACACACGCGUAAAAAUUGUGACAGAUUAAGGAUUCCGUAACCUGCUUAGUUGAGAAAAAGUAAAGAAUAAGGAACCUUUAAGGGGGCCCUGAACAUGCUUUAAAAUAAUGACCGUUACGAAAUCUUUAUAUGGAAAAUCGUACCACUAUUUAUAAGUUGUAAUUUAUAAAGAAUAUAUUUUAGCGAAAAUAAACCA